GCACAAGCGGUGGAGCAUGUGGUUUAAUCGGAUGCAACGCCGAGAACCUUACCAGGAUUUGACAUCCCGGACCGCCUUAGAAAUAGGGUUUUCCAGGCUUCGGUCUGGACUGGGAGACAGGUGGUGCAUGGCUGUCGUCAGCUCGUGCCGUGAGGUGUUGGGUUAAGUCCCGCAACGAGCGCAACCCUUGCCAUUAGUUGCUACGAAAGGGCACUCUAAUGGGACUGCCGGUGACAAACCGGAGGAAGGUGGGGAUGACGUCAAGUCCUCAUGGCCCUUAUAGGUGGGGCUACACACGUCAUACAAUGGCCGGUACAGAGGGCUGCGAAGGAGCGAUCCGGAGCCAAUCCCAAAAAGCCGGUUUCAGUUCGGAUUGUAGGCUGCAACUCGCCUACAUGAAGUCGGAAUCGCUAGUAAUCGCGAGUCAGCAUAUCGCGGUGAAUACGUUCCCGGGUCUU
rnacentral:rRNA from 1 species